rnacentral:lncRNA from 1 species
UUCUAAGUCCUCAUCCUUUACUCGUUGCUUCUCUUUUUCUUCCAGAAGCCACAACUUCCACAGGAGUCCAUAGAACCACUGUAGUGGGAUGGAAGACAGAAGCUAUGACGUCCUUUAGAGGCACUGAGACCAUAGGAAGUGGAAUGAAUACAGGGGUAUCAGGUAGCCAAGUCACUAGCAUUCCACUAGGUACUACUGCAGUGGUCUCUGGCAACACCAUCUCACCUAGCAGUUUCAACACAGGUG